GUCGAACGAUGAACCGGUGCUUGCACUGGGGAUUAGUGGCGAACGGGUGAGUAACACGUGAGUAACCUGCCCUUAACUCUGGGAUAAGCCUUGGAAACGAGGUCUAAUACUGGAUAUUGACUUUUCCUCGCAUGGGGAUUGGUUGAAAGAUUUAUUGGUUUUGGAUGGACUCGCGGCCUAUCAGCUUGUUGGUGAGGUAAUGGCUCACCAAGGCGACGACGGGUAGCCGGCCUGAGAGGGUGACCGGCCACACUGGGACUGAGACACGGCCCAGACUCCUACGGGAGGCAGCAGUGGGGAAUAUUGCACAAUGGGCGAAAGCCUGAUGCAGCGACGCCGCGUGAGGGAUGACGGCCUUCGGGUUGUAAACCUCUUUCAGUAGGGAACAAGGCCAGACGUUGUCUGGUUGAGGGUACUUGCAGAAGAAGCGCCGGCUAACUACGUGCCAGCAGCCGCGGUAAUACGUAGGGCGCAAGCGUUAUCCGGAAUUAUUGGGCGUAAAGAGCUCGUAGGCGGUUUGUCGCGUCUGCCGUGAAAGUCCGGGGCUCAACUCCGGAUCUGCGGUGGGUACGGGCAGACUAGAGUGAUGUAGGGGAGACUGGAAUUCCUGGUGUAGCGGUGAAAUGCGCAGAUAUCAGGAGGAACACCGAUGGCGAAGGCAGGUCUCUGGGCAUUAACUGACGCUGAGGAGCGAAAGCAUGGGGAGCGAACAGGAUUAGAUACCCUGGUAGUCCAUGCCGUAAACGUUGGGCACUAGGUGUGGGGGACAUUCCACGUUUUCCGCGCCGUAGCUAACGCAUUAAGUGCCCCGCCUGGGGAGUACGGCCGCAAGGCUAAAACUCAAAGGAAUUGACGGGGGCCCGCACAAGCGGCGGAGCAUGCGGAUUAAUUCGAUGCAACGCGAAGAACCUUACCAAGGCUUGACAUGAACUGGAAACGCUUGGAAACAAGGGCCCCGUUUGCGGUCGGUUUACAGGUGGGGCAUGGUUGUCGUCAGCUCGGGGCGGGAA
rnacentral:rRNA from 1 species